CUGAGUGAAGUAAGAGACGCACAAAAGAGCUGGGGGAGAAAGAGACACAAAAAUGGUCUGGGGACUCAGUAAGAUAAACACAAAGGGAAAAAAUGGGGGUAAAAUAUACUAAAGACAUUGAGAAGAGAGAAAGAAAUUCAAGAGGGGGAUUAAGGGACACUUUGCAUUUUUGGGAAGAAUGUGUAGACAAAACUCCCUGCACUGGCCUAGUCCACGUAUAAUUCACUCAAGGACUGAUAUUACUUUCAAUGAUUUCUUUACAGUCCUGUUGUAUUUUUGCUGUUCCUGUUUUAGGAAAGAAGGGUUGCAGAAUUGAAAGUUCACAGAUCUCCAAU